GAUUAAGUUAUUAAGGGCGCACGGUGGAUGCCUUGGCACUAGAAGCCGAUGAAGGACGUUACUAACGACGAUAUGCUUUGGGGAGCUGUAAGUAAGCUUUGAUCCAGAGAUUUCCGAAUGGGGAAACCCAGCAUGAGUUAUGUCAUGUUAUCGAUAUGUGAAUACAUAGCAUAUCUGAAGGUAGACGCGGAGAACUGAAACAUCUUAGUACCCGCAGGAAGAGAGAAAAAUCGAUUCCCUGAGUAGCGGCGAGCGAAACGGAAGAGCCCAAACCAACGAGCUUGCUUGUUGGAGACACUCUAUACGGAGUUACAAAGAAUAAACUAGACGAAUCAUCUGGAAAGAUGAAUCAAAGAAGGUAAUAAUCCUGUAGUCGAAAGUUUAUUCACUCUUGAGUGGAUCCUGAGUACGACGGAACACGAGAAAUUCCGUCGGAAUCCGGGAGGACCAUCUCCCAAGGCUAAAUACUCUCUAGUGACCGAUAGUGAACCAGUACCGUGAGGAAAGGUGAAAAGUACCGGAAGGGGGUGAAAUAGAACUUGAAACCGUGUGCACAAGUAGUCAGAGCCCGUUAAUGGGUGAUGGCGUGCCUUUGUAGAAUGAACCGGCGAGUUACGAUUUGAUGCAAGGUUAAGCAGUGAAUGUGGAGCCGUAGCGAAAGCGAGUCUGAAUAGGGCGUUGAGUAUUUGGUCGUAGACCCGAAACCAGGUGAUCUACCCAUGACCAGGUUGAAGUUCAGGUAACACUGAAUGGAGGACCGAACCGACUUACGUUGAAAAGUGAGCGGAUGAGUUGUGGGUAGCGGAGAAAUUCCAAUCGAACCUGGAGAUAGCUGGUUCUCUCCGAAAUAGCUUUAGGGCUAGCCUCAAGUGAUGAUUAUUGGAGGUAGAGCACUGUUUGGACGAGGGGCCCUUAUCGGGUUACCGAAUUCAGACAAACUCCGAAUGCCAAUCAAUUUAACUUGGGAGUUAGAACGCGGGUGAUAAGGUCCGUGUUCGAAAGGGAAACAGCCCAGACCAGCUAAGGUCCCAAAAUAUAUGUUAAGUGGAAAAGGAUGUGGCGUUGCCCAGACAACUAGGAUGUUGGCUUAGAAGCAGCCAUCAUUUAAAGAGUGCGUAAUAGCUCACUAGUCGAGUGACACUGCGCCGAAAAUGUACCGGGGCUAAACAUAUUACCGAAGCUGUGGAUUGUCCGUAAGGACAAUGGUAGGAGAGCGUUCUAAGGGCGUUGAAGCAUGAUCGCAAGGACAUGUGGAGCGCUUAGAGUGAGAAUGCCGGUGUGAGUAGCGAAAGACGGGUGAGAAUCCCGUCCACCGAUUGACUAAGGUUUCCAGAGGAAGGCUCGUCCGCUCUGGGUUAGUCGGGUCCUAAGCUGAGGCCGAUAGGCGUAGGCGAUGGAUAACAGGUUGAUAUUCCUGUACCACCAUAAUUCGUUUUAAGCGAUGGGGGACGCAGUAGGAUAGGCGAAGCGUACUAUUGGUUGUACGUCCAAGCAGUAAGACUGAGUGUUAGGCAAAUCCGGCACUCUUAAGGUCAAGCUGUGAUGGGAGAGGUUUCCUCGAGUCGUUGAUUUCACACUGCCAAGAAAAGCCUCUAGCUAGAAUUGUGGUGCCCGUACCGCAAACCGACACAGGUAGUCAAGAUGAGAAUUCUAAGGUGAGCGAGCUCUCGUUAAGGAACUCGGCAAAAUGACCCGUAACUUCGGGAGAAGGUGCUCUUUAGGGUUGCCCAGAGCCGCAGUGAAUAGGCCCAAGCGACUGUUUAUCAAAAACACAGGUCUCUGCUAAACCGUAAGGUGAUGUAUAGGGCUGACCGGUGCUGGAAGGUUAAGAGGUGGUUAGCUUCUGCGAAGCUACGAAUCGAAGCCCCAGUAAACGGCCGUAACUAUAACGGUCCUAAGGUAGCGAAAUUCCUUGUCGGGUAAGUUCCGACCCGCACGAAAGGCGUAACGAUUUGGGCACUGUCUCAACGAGAGACUCGGUGAAAUCAUAGUACCUGUGAAGAUGCAGGUUGCGACAGGACGGAAAGCCCCGUGGAGCUUUACUGUAGUCUGAUAUUGAAAUUCGGCACAGCUUGUACAGGAUAGGUAGGAGCCUGAGAUGCGUGAGCGCUAGCACGUGGAGGCGUUGGUGGGUACUACCCUCGCUGUGUUGGAUUUCUAACCCGCACCAUUUAUCAUGGUGGGAGACAGUGUCAGAUGGGCAGUUUGACUGGGGCGGUCGCCUCCUAAAGAGUAACGGAGGCGCUCAAGGUU
rnacentral:rRNA from 1 species